ACCAGUACCAGUUUGAACCAGGGGAUGGUUGGUUGUUUAUGUGUGCUGUUAAUGAGUUCAUUCUGCUCUCUAACUCAUUGAAUUUUUGGAUGUCAAUCAACAAGCUUCCCCUCACUGACUGAUUGAUUGAUUGAUUUUUGGCCGGUGCUAGCUUGUGUAUCUUGUGUCGGGCGAGGGAGAGGGACGUAUGUGCAUACGGGGUUGCAGUGCAGAGGCGCCCGUGGUUUCAAGUUGCAGGGCCGGGAGAAAUUUCACGGCAACCAGGAGUAACAAUACUUUUGGUUACUUGGGAAUACGAUGAUGUUCUGGUGACGUGGAACAUGCUGAGAUUUGGACUUCAAUCCUUGAUUGUGCACGGGGAUUUCCGAAACGAGUAGAAGACUAAUAACUUCUACGACAUCAAAGAUCUCUGAGAUUUUAGAGUAUGCACCAUAUUGAUUUACUUAUCAAUUUAUUCACACUUAU